rnacentral:rRNA from 1 species
AGAGUUUGAUCAUGGCUCAGAUUGAACGCUGGCGGCAUGCCUUACACAUGCAAGUCGAACGGCAGCACGGAGCUUGCUCUGGUGGCGAGUGGCGAACGGGUGAGUAAUAUAUCGGAACGUACCCUAGAGUGGGGGAUAACGUAGCGAAAGUUACGCUAAUACCGCAUACGAUCUAAGGAUGAAAGUGGGGGAUCGCAAGACCUCAUGCUCGUGGAGCGGCCGAUAUCUGAUUAGCUAGUUGGUAGGGUAAAAGCCUACCAAGGCAUCGAUCAGUAGCUGGUCUGAGAGGACGACCAGCCACACUGGAACUGAGACACGGUCCAGACUCCUACGGGAGGCAGCAGUGGGGAAUUUUGGACAAUGGGCGAAAGCCUGAUCCAGCAAUGCCGCGUGAGUGAAGAAGGCCUUCGGGUUGUAAAGCUCUUUUGUCAGGGAAGAAACGGUGAGAGCUAAUAUCUCUUGCUAAUGACGGUACCUGAAGAAUAAGCACCGGCUAACUACGUGCCAGCAGCCGCGGUAAUACGUAGGGUGCAAGCGUUAAUCGGAAUUACUGGGCGUAAAGCGUGCGCAGGCGGUUUUGUAAGUCUGAUGUGAAAUCCCCGGGCUCAACCUGGGAAUUGCAUUGGAGACUGCAAGGCUAGAAUCUGGCAGAGGGGGGUAGAAUUCCACGUGUAGCAGUGAAAUGCGUAGAUAUGUGGAGGAACACCGAUGGCGAAGGCAGCCCCCCUGGGUCAAGAUUGACGCUCAUGCACGAAAGCGUGGGGAGCAAACAGGAUUAGAUACCCUGGUAGUCCACGCCCUAAACGAUGUCUACUA